GAUGAACGCUGGCGGCGUGCCUAAUACAUGCAAGUCGAGCGAACGGACGAGAAGCUUGCUCCUCUGCUGUUAGCGGCGGACGGGUGAGUAACACGUGGAUAACCAACCUAUAAGACUGGGAUAACUUCGGGAAACCGGUGCUAAUACCGGAUAAUAUUUUGAACCGCAUGGUUCAAAAGUGAAAGACGGUUUUGCCGUCUCUUUUAGAUGGAUCCGUGCUGCAUUAGCUAGUUGGUAAGGUAACGGCUCACCAAGGCAACGAUGCUUAGCCGACCUGAGAGGGUGAUCAGCCACACUGGAACUGAGACACGGUCCAGACUCCUACGGGAGGCAGCAGUAGGGAAUCUUCCGCAAUGGGCGAAAGCCUGACGGAGCAACGCCGCGUGAGUGAUGAAGGUCUUCGGAUCGUAAAACUCUGUUAUUAGGGAAGAACAUAUGUAUAAGUAACUGUGCACAUCUUGACGGUACCUAAUCAGAAAGCCACGGCUAACUACGUG
rnacentral:rRNA from 1 species